GAUGUACCUAUAAGUACCUAUAACAUAUUUUUCUGUAUUCAUCUUUUAUUAUAAUAUGUAACGUAAACUAUUUUAACGAUCUUACAUUUUGCACUAGAUACGUGUACUUGUUUGUUAACAAAUUACUCAUAUUUUGUUGAGGAUUAACAUAUUAUUCUUCAAGUAGACAUGCUUCAAUACUACGAGAUGAUGAUGUUUGUGUUGUUGAAAAAAGAAUAUAGGUUUACCAUAUAAUUGCAAAAACAACUCUGACUGACUAUUAUAGUGUAAUUAAUAUUUCCUUUUGCAACUUAAUUGGUGAUCAAGCUUAUCGCUACCUAAUAAAUCCCCUAAUUAGUAUCUCCCAAAUUCAAAAUGUUUUUAUUUUAAUUAAUUAUUUUGGUAAAUAAGUUUUGUAAAAAGGAAUUAUAAUCAUUUAGUUGUGGUGGAAAAAAAAUUAUUUCUCUGAAGUCAAAAAAAGUAAUAUUACAGCUCGACAACAUGAUCAGCUAUUCUGAAGUUUUAUUGCUAUAAUAACUAUGACCCUUGUAGUUGAACAGUACCUAUUACCAAUAACUGCAUACGUCAAAUUAUUGCAAUGAGAGAGAAACUCUUCUGCUGAGCGUGUUUGUUUUGCGACUCGUUCAAUAUGUGCACCUGCGUGGUAUGGGUAAUACAUCUCCGUCUUAUGGUAACGGAACGUCGGCGGUACGUGACGUUUCGUGCACUUGUUCAGAUCCCAUUCAAAGACCAGCCGUUACACGUACUUACUACGAGCUACGGUUCAAGGGACUUGAAUAACUAUGUUUUGACCGAUUUAUUAAUACAUGUUAAAUGUGUUAUUGUUUAUUUAUAUUGGUAAAUUUGUUGGACAUAAA